rnacentral:rRNA from 1 species
CGUACAGAGGGCGCAGCCUGCUCUAGCCCUGCCGCUGUGAGCGAUGAAGGCCUUAGGGUUGUAAAGCUCUUUCAGGGGGGAAGAUAAUGACUGUACCCCCAGAAGAAGCCCCGGCUAACUCCGUGCCAGCAGCCGCGGUAAUACGGAGGGGGCUAGCGUUGUUCGGAAUUACUGGGCGUAAAGCGCACGUAGGCGGACGGAGAAGUCAGAGGUGAAAUCCCAGGGCUCAACCUUGGAACUGCCUUUGAAACUUUCUGUCUUGAGGUCGAGAGAGGUGAGUGGAAUUCCGAGUGUAGAGGUGAAAUUCGUAGAUAUUCGGAGGAACACCGGUGGCGAAGGCGGCUCACUGGCUCGAUACUGACGCUGAGGUGCGAAA